rnacentral:rRNA from 1 species
AUUGAACGCUGGCGGCAUGCCUUACACAUGCAAGUCGAACGGCAGCGGGCCCUUCGGGGUGCCGGCGAGUGGCGAACGGGUGAGUAAUGCAUCGGAACGUACCCGGGAGAGGGGGAUAACCGGCCGAAAGGCUGGCUAAUACCGCAUGAUCUCGGAAGAGCAAAGCGGGGGACCUUCGGGCCUCGCGCUCUCGGAGCGGCCGAUGUCCGAUUAGCUAGUUGGUGAGGUAAAGGCUCACCAAGGCGACGAUCGGUAGCGGGUCUGAGAGGACGAUCCGCCACACUGGGACUGAGACACGGCCCAGACUCCUACGGGAGGCAGCAGUGGGGAAUCUUGGACAAUGGGCGCAAGCUGAUCCAGCAAUGCCGCGUGGGUGAAGAAGGCCUUCGGGUUGUAAAGCCCUUUCGGCGGGGAAGAAAUCGGUCAGGCGAAUAGUCUGGCUGGAUGACGGUACCCGCAGAAGAAGCACCGGCUAACUACGUG